rnacentral:rRNA from 1 species
AGAGUUUGAUCCUGGCUCAGGAUGAACGCUGGCGGCGUGCUUAACACAUGCAAGUCGAACGGAUCAGCCUUCGGGCUGGUUAGUGGCGGACGGGUGCGUAACACGUAGGUGACCUACCCUAAAGUGGGGAAUAACUCCGCUAACGCGGAGCUAAUACCGCAUGUGGUUACUUGUUCGAUCAAGUAACUAAAGUCGCAAGAUGCUUUAGGAUGGGCCUGCGGCGGAUUAGCUAGUUGGUGGGGUAAAGGCCUACCAAGGCGAUGAUCCGUAGGGGGCGUGAGAGCGUGACCCCCCACAUUGGCACUGAGACACGGGCCAAACUCCUACGGGAGGCAGCAGUGAGGAAUAUUGCACAAUGGGCGCAAGCCUGAUGCAGCAACGCCGCGUGAGGGACGAAGGCCUUCGGGUCGUAAACCUCUUUUCUGGGGGACGAGACAAGGACGGUACCUCAGGAAUAAGUCUCGGCUAACUACGUGCCAGCAGCCGCGGUAAAACGUAGGAGGCGAGCGUUAUCCGGAUUUACUGGGCGUAAAGCGCGCGCAGGCGGCUUGGUAAGUUGGACGUGAAAGCUCCUGGCUUAACUGGGAGAGGCCGUUCGAAACUGCCAGGCUUGAGGUUGGGAGAGGGGUGCGGAAUUCCCGGUGUAGUGGUGGAAUGCGUAGAUAUCGGGAGGAACACCAGUGGCGAAGGCGGCACCCUGGCCCACACCUGACGCUGAGGUGCGAAAGCGUGGGGAGUAAACAGGAUUAGAUACCCUGGUAAUCCACGCCGUAAACGAUGUCAACUAGGUGUCGGUGGUGUUACACUAUCGGUGCCGAAGCAAACGCGUUAAGUUGACCGCCUGGGGACUACGGCCGCAAGGCUAAAACUCAAAGGAAUUGACGG